AGAUCUGGGAGUGCUCGCAAGAGAACCGGAACACAGGUGCUGCAUGGCUGUCGUCAGCUCGUGUCGUGAGAUGUUGGGUUAAGUCCCGCAACGAGCGCAACCCUUGUCAUUAGUUGCCACCAUUCAGUUGGGCACUCUAAUGAGACUGCCGGUGACAAACCGGAGGAAGGUGGGGAUGACGUCAAGUCCUCAUGGCCCUUAUGGGUAGGGCUUCACACGUCAUACAAUGGUCGGUACAGAGGGUCGCCAACCCGCGAGGGGGAGCCAAUCCCACAAAGCCGAUCGUAGUCCGGAUUGGAGUCUGCAACUCGACUCCAUGAAGUCGGAAUCGCUAGUAAUCGUGGAUCAGCAUGUCACGGUGAAUACGUUCCCGGGUCUU
rnacentral:rRNA from 1 species